rnacentral:rRNA from 1 species
UACAGAGGUCUCAAGCGUUGUUCGGAUUCAUUGGGCGUAAAGGGUGUGUAGGUGGCGCGCUAAGUCGGGUGUGAAAUUCGGAGCUUAACUCCGAAACUGCAUUCGAUAACUGGCGUGCUUGAGGACUGGAGAGGAGACUGGAAUUCAUGGUGUAGCAGUGAAAUGCGUAGAGAUCAUGAGGAACACCAGUGGCGAAGGCGACUUUCUGGUCUGUAACUGACACUGAGGCGCGAAAGCGUGGGGAGCGAACAGGA